rnacentral:rRNA from 1 species
GACGAACGCUGGCGGCGUGCUUAACACAUGCAAGUCGAACGGAAAGGCCCUGCUUUUGUGGGGUGCUCGAGUGGCGAACGGGUGAGUAACACGUGAGUAACCUGCCCUUGACUUUGGGAUAACUUAAGGAAACUGGGGCUAAUACCGGAUAGGAGCUCCUGCUGCAUGGUGGGGGUGGGAAAGUUUCGGCGGUUGGGGAUGGACUCGCGGCUUAUCAGCUUGUUGGUGGGGUAGUGGCUUACCAAGGCUUUGACGGGUAGCCGGCCUGGGAGGGUGACCGGCCACAUUGGGACUGAGAUACGGCCCAGACUCCUACGGGAGGCAGCAGUGGGGAAUAUUGUACAAUGGGCGGAAGCCUGAUGCAGCAACGCCGCGUGCGGGAUGACGGCCUUCGGGUUGUAAACCGCUUUCGCCUGUGACGAAGCGUGAGUGACGGUAAUGGGUAAAGAAGCACCGGCUAACUACGUG